AAGGUUGUUAUGGAAACUAUUAAUGCUGUGAAUCAACUAAUAUUGCAAGAUCAUCAUGUGACCGAUCGUCAGAUUGAAAGAACAAUAAGCAGUAGUGCACUCAUACAAUCAAUAUUUCAUGAAUAUGUGAGUGUGAAAAAAAUUUGUUCGCUUUGGAUCCCGCACAAUUUGUCAAACGCUCACAAAAGGCUCGAGAGAAAGGCUUCAAAAAUACGAUAGUAGUGCUUCGGAACACGUACGAGUAUAUGACAUCGUGACGGGUAAUGAAUCGUGGAUUUACGUGUAUGAGCUCGAAAGAAAAUAGCAGUCGACUGUAUGAGUGUUUGAAGUUGAGCCGAAGCACUUAGGACAUUGAUGCGCUCAGAAAGCAGAUUUUAGAAAUUCCUCAAUCAGUGCGGCGAAAGUGCAUCGGCAUUUGGUUGAAUGAACACUAAUGCGAAUUCGGAUGACUAAUAUUUGUUUUUGAUCUUUGAUUGUGAAAUAUAGAAGGCAGCCCUCGCAUAUGUAUUGAUAAAAACAAUAAACAAACUAUUUAAAUGAAGAAGGCAAUAGAAACGGUUAAGCCCGCUCAAUAAAAAAGUACAGAAAAAAGUCGAGCUUUCGAAAUAACAUACAUACAUACAACAUAUAUGUAUAAACACAGGUAAAUACGAGUAUGUGACAAAUCGCAAUGCUUUCAAAGUUGAGUGACACAAAUAAAUAUGUACGUUUGUACGUGAACAAAUUCUUGUGAAAUGAGAAGAAAUGGAAAACCUCAACCAAGCAAAUCAAGUUUAUGAAAAAUCCUGGGUGGAAAAAAAGUUGGCAAAAAUUACAAAAAAAAAACCGCAAAAGUAAUAAUGAAUAAAAAAAACAACAACAAUCAACGCAGCCACAACAAUGGCAACAUAAAAGCCACACUGAACGUAAGCGUUGAGGUGAGGUCCAAAGGAAUUUUUUCAGUUAACACGACGCAGCGGUCAUACCGCAAUUUGUUGACGUUGUUGUUGUUGUUACAUACUCGUAGCUGAGUAUGCACAUAUGGACAAAUAUAAAUACGCAUUUACACUCAUGGCAACAGACUGGUUUGGAGCCAACCAAGCAACGGCGUGCCAAGUUACCGGCUGCUUGAUAUCAUAAAUACAAUGGCCAAGAAACAUAUGUUGAUGUGUUGUUGUAAUGUGUGUAUGUAAAUUGUGUGUUUUCUGUUUAAUAAAUAUGCCCGAGUCAGCGGCGUCUUUUACAUGCGCAGUGCGAUUCAUUUUGUGGUUUUAUCGCGGAAAUGCUUUUCGCCCAAGAAUUCCACGACCACAAAAACA